rnacentral:lncRNA from 1 species
AUUUUAAUUUGCUCUCUCGUUUUAUGGUAGUUUGUAGUUUUGGUUUUUUUUUUUGUUUUUUUUUUUUUUGGGGGGGGGGGGAGUUAGGGAAGGGGAAGGGAAAUGAACAUUUGAAGCACCACAUUUAUCAUGAAAGGAAAUAUUAAAACUUGUUACUGUAUAAAAGUGUAAAUAGUAUAUUGAAGGUCAAACCCAUGUGUGAUUCUGUUUUUGUUAUAAAUGAUGUUAUAGAGUAUAUGAGGCAAAGAGACUGUGAUCACGUUAUUAUCAUUUUGAAUAUUUUUAUAUCUUUGUCACUUUUUGUGUAUGGUGUACUUACUUAAACAUACACAUGAGCAAGAAUUUUAUAAGUUUUAUUCCCAAUUGUGAGACUUUUAUUGGCUUUUAAAGGGGGUUAUAUCAUGGCAAAGGUCUGCUUUGCAUAAAAAGUAUUAAAAUCUAGUUCAAUGUGGCUAGCUCUUUUCUUGAAUUUCUAUGGUUAUAAUAUAGGGGAAUAAGUUAAGUUAUGGGGUUGUAAAUAUUCACUGUAUAUGAAUGAAUUUUUGGUGCACAAAUUACAAAUUUUAAAGGGUUGACAACUUCAAUGCAAACUCUUUAGUUAUGAAUGGAAAUUUUUGCUCAUGUUAUAAAUAAUAGCAAUUGUAAAUAGACUCCAAAGUUUCAUUUUAUCAGCACUUUCAUGAUUUACUCUCAACUGCACUUAAGAAUGAAUGGAUAGAAUCAGAAUAAAAACCUAUGCAGAACUAAGCUCAAUUGAUAUAGUUCCCACAAUGCAAUCUUAAUUAUAAAUGUACAUGUCAUAUAAAAAGUUACAGUAUCAUAAUAAUUAGGAAAUAUAUCAACUUGUUUAUUUUAAUUCUUAAUUCAUAUUAAAAACACUUCAUGUACACUUCUGCAUUUUAUUUUAUUAUUCUGAUAUUUGAGAUUUAUUAUCAAAUUCAUCAUCAAUGUCACAGAUGACUUAGAUUUGCACAGAUUUGAGCAAUUGUCUCAAUUACUACACUAGUUUUACAAAUGUCAUCUUAUUAGAUUUUAAAAUAUCUGUUUAGCAGAACAUUCGCAUGUGAAGCCAAUUU